rnacentral:rRNA from 1 species
UACGUAGGGGGCAAGCGUUGUCCGGAAUCAUUGGGCGUAAAGAGCGUGUAGGCGGCUCGAUAAGUCUGCUGUGAAAGUCCAGGGCUCAACCCUGGAAGGCCGGUGGAAACUGUCGGGCUAGAGUCCGGAAGAGGUGAGUGGAAUUCCCGGUGUAGCGGUGAAAUGCGCAGAUAUCGGGAGGAACACCAAUGGCGAAGGCAGCGCGCUGGGACGGUACUGACGCUGAGACGCGAAAGCGUGGGGAGCAAACAGG